AGUGAACGCUGGCGGUAGGCCUAACACAUGCAGGUCGAACGGCAGCACAGGAGAGCUUGCUCUCUGGGUGGCGAGUGGCGGACGGGUGAGGAAUACAUCGGAAUCUACCUUGUCGUGGGGGAUAACGUAGGGAAACUUACGCUAAUACCGCAUACGACCUUCGGGUGAAAGUGGGGGACCGCAAGGCCUCACGCGAUUAGAUGAGCCGAUGUCGGAUUAGCUAGUUGGCGGGGUAAAAGCCCACCAAGGCGACGAUCCGUAGCUGGUCUGAGAGGAUGAUCAGCCACACUGGAACUGAGACACGGUCCAGACUCCUACGGGAGGCAGCAGUGGGGAAUAUUGGACAAUGGGCGCAAGCCUGAUCCAGCCAUACCGCGUGGGUGAAGAAGGCCUUCGGGUUGUAAAGCCCUUUUGUUGGGAAAGAAAUCUUGCCGGUUAAUACCUGGCGAGGAUGACGGUACCCAAAGAAUAAGCACCGGCUAACUUCGUGCCAGCAGCCGCCGUAAAAC
rnacentral:rRNA from 1 species